CUACGGGAUGCUCCAGUGGGGAAUAUUGCACAAUGGGCGCAAGCCUGAUGCAGCCAUGCCGCGUGUAUGAAGAAGGCCUUCGGGUUGUAAAGUACUUUCAGCGGGGAGGAAGGGAGUAAAGUUAAUACCUUUGCUCAUUGACGUUACCCGCAGAAGAAGCACCGGCUAACUCGCGUGCCAGCAGCCGCGGUAAUACGGAGGGUGCAAGCGUUAAUCGGAAUUACUGGGCGUAAAGCGCACGCAGGCGGUUUGUUAAGUCAGAUGUGAAAUCCCCGGGCCCAACCUGGGAACUGCAUCUGAUACUGGCAAGCUUGAGUCUCGUAGAGGGGGGUAGAAUUCCAGGUGUAGCGGUGAAAUGCGUAGAGAUCUGGAGGAAUACCGGUGGCGAAGGCGGCCCCCUGGACGAAGACUGACGCUCAGGUGCGAAAGCGUGGGGAGCAAACAGGAUUAGAUACCCCUGUAGUC
rnacentral:rRNA from 1 species